rnacentral:rRNA from 1 species
UGGGGAAUUUUGGACAAUGGGGGAAACCCUGAUCCAGCCAUCCCGCGUGUGCGAUGAAGGCCUUCGGGUUGUAAAGCACUUUUGGCAGGAAAGAAACGUCAUGGGUUAAUACCCCGUGAAACUGACGGUACCUGCAGAAUAAGCACCGGCUAACUACGUGCCAGCAGCCGCGGUAAUACGUAGGGUGCAAGCGUUAAUCGGAAUUACUGGGCGUAAAGCGUGCGCAGGCGGUUCGGAAAGAAAGAUGUGAAAUCCCAGAGCUCAACUUUGGAACUGCAUUUUUAACUACCGGGCUAGAGUGUGUCAGAGGGAGGUGGAAUUCCGCGUGUAGCAGUGAAAUGCGUAGAUAUGCGGAGGAACACCGAUGGCGAAGGCAGCCUCCUGGGCUAACACUGACGCUCAUGCACGAAAGCGUGGGGAGCAAACAGG